AACCUGGAGCGAACGAACAUCCUUACAUCUUUUCUGCCCGCAAGGAAAGAUCUCGGCUGAAUCUGAAGCCUGGUAUUCCAUUUCCGAGCCAGGCAAGAGCUCUAGUUCACGGUGUCUCGACAGUCAAAGUGCCUCUGAAACGUGAACCGUGGAGUGAUCUUGCAGAUAACCGGUGAGUUAUUUAUUCGUAGUUAUCACAACGUGUUCGUCAUAUACUUGCAAUUUUUCAUGUUCUUUUCAAGUUGUGAACACAUAAUACAUUUGCCAAGGAAAUAACACUAAUGCAUGCUCUGCAAAUGCAUUUCAGCUGGGUAGAAGACGUUGAAAGUGCAAUGGACUACACCCCAGAAGAUAAUGCUACCAAUAAACCUGCAUAUCAGUACUGUUAAGAUGCCAUUGGCCAUCAUGUUCAGCUAUCUAUGUUCUCUCUGUUGGCUGGCGGCCUCUAAUAUCGUGCAAGGUGCAGCUGAGAGGGAUCCUGUCAUUUUGCAGCUGGGAUGGAAGAUGAGUGCACUGAUCUUGGGGCUUCAAUGUAAUGAAGUGGAGAAGCAAGCUGCGGGGCCAUU
rnacentral:lncRNA from 1 species